rnacentral:tRNA from 1 species
UACCCGGUAGUGUAACGGUAGCACCCCAGGUUUUGGUCCUGGUUGUCCUGGUUCAAAUCCAGGCCGGGUAG